AAGACAGCAAUCAGAUCGGCCUCAUGAUGGUGGCAUAUUUUUUAGCGCAAGGUCCUAAAAAAUAUUUAAGAUCUUAAAAUUUAUUAUAACUUGAGGUUCGUAAAUACUAUUGAUCUCAAUUCAUAAUAAAUAUUUCAUAUUAACAAAUAUCAAAUCUUAUCCAAAUUACAAAAUCUGUUGUGAGCUUUAUAGCCGAGUAAGAAUCCUUAUAUACUCAAACUAAUAUAGAAGUAUAAUUUAAAAAUAACAG
rnacentral:lncRNA from 1 species